GACGUAGGGCGCGAGCGUUGUCCGGAUUUAUUGGGCGUAAAGAGCUCGUAGGCGGCUUGUCGCGUCGUCUGUGAGAUCCCACGGCUCAACUGUGGGCUUGCAGUCGAUACGGGCAGGCUGGAGUUCGGUAGGGGAGACUGGAAUUCCUGGUGUAGCGGUGAAAUGCGCAGAUAUCAGGAGGAACACCGGUGGCGAAGGCGGGUCUCUGGGCCGAUACUGACGCUGAGGAGCGAAAGCGUGGGGAGCGAACAGG
rnacentral:rRNA from 1 species